UUAUCUUUGGCGCGGGAAACUCUCUCCCCAGCAGAACUGAGAAGUGAUGCAACAUUGCUGUGUGUUCGCUUUUAAGCUACUUUGAAGACACUUGUUUCAAAUUCAAGCUGAGAGUAUCAGGGCUUCAAAACGCUGAAAUUCCUCAACUGGAAGCCUAUUUGCUAGCAAGCGCAGUUCUAAUCUUGUAGUCAAGGUAAGUUAUUCUAUUCAUUUGCUCAUUUUCAUUGAAGAGAUGACUACUUUUAUUAAAACUGCCUAAAUAUGUAUAAAAUGGAAUUUUUAAAAUUUCAGGCCAAUUUUUUGUUAACAAGGCUAUACUUCUCAUAUUAUACUUGGCUUCUGUGAGUUUACAUUUAGCCUUCUGCAAUAAAUUUUUAGUCGUUUUACAAGAAAGCUUUUAACAUGUCAUGAAGCACAAGCUCAAAAGGUACUCCAUCAUCACUAUUCUUUCGAGCACAUCCAUUGUUCACUGUGAACUGACAAGAAAUAAAUUUGUCAAGUAAAAUUUAUCAUGGCUGAAUUUUGUGAAAUCAGUUUAUUUUACAUUUUCAUUUGAUGUAACUUUUUGCAAACUGCAAUUGAAUCUACUGAAGCUCAGAAGUUCCAAGAUUGUCUGGACCAAAUCCAAGUGUCAUAGCAAGAGCAACACUGGAAAUGCCUUCGAUUUCAGUAUAUUUCCUCUUUCCUUCUCAGGGCAGCUGAAGGGGGGGGGGGGCAAUAUGUCCAAGAUUAUCGAGUUUUAGGGAGCCUCAUAAUAGAAUGAUUUCCAUUUUAUGAACAUAGUUAAUAAAAAGCAACAAAUGUAUGCCUAAAGGAAAGUAAGAUGUUUUUAACGAUUGCAAGAAUUAUAUUUCAGCAAGAAAUAUUCGUAGCUGUAUUAGAAGCUAACCAUAAGCUGAGAUAAGCUAAUCAUAAGGGUAUGGUUGCACAAUUUUUGCUUGCUAAGCUCGCGGGGCUCUUGUCUUUCGCCUUUACCUCAGGGCCUUCGAUACCUUUCAGCGGCCCUGGUCUUACUUAACUUAUAUCACCUUUUAAUCGCAGGCUCUGCAUGUUUCUGAAUAAUUUUUCAUUAUUUAAGGAAAAGAAAAGUGGACAAGUUUCGAGAGGGAAACGAAUCGGCGUAUUUUCACUUGCUAUUGCGUCUUUACAGGAAAUAAACUUCGGAAAUGUUUAUUUUGCUUUAAGGGAACUUGUCCUAAUUGCGUUAAAUAAAAUACCUUCUAGAGAAUUUUCUAAUUUUUUUAAAUUCAUUUUGUUUAUGUCACCUAAACGCCAUGGAAUUGAACUUCACGAAAAUGUACAGAAGAGAACAAGAUUGCUAUUAGCAGGACAGAAGACAAAAAGGUUACAACGCAAGAAUUUGGUAUAAAACAUCUGGCAAUGCCUUCACAUUGGUUCUUCAAAAAACAAGGGAAGUCCUACGCUCAGUGACUAAUUAUUGUCUUCACUGAUGAUCACCAGUGUUCACGAUCAGUUGAUUUGCGUUUACUUGUUUGCUGGUCAUCGAUACUAAAGCGAAGCGAAGUGGCAGAUAACUUACGGUCUGCUCAUUCGGCUCACUGGUUUGCCCGUUGAAGAAGCAGACGUGGCAUCGAACUCAUUUCUGAAAUGCCGUUGUGGCGAAUUCUUCACCAAUGUUUUGAUGCAAAAGAAUGCCGAACCUGCAGCUACCUGGAUUCUGCGGUUUGAAGUCGCAUGACUUCCAUGGACUGCAUUUCUUGAUGCAAUGAAUAAAUCCCACUUCCUUUAGCAUUAUCUUCAAUGCUUUUAAUUUUAUUGUGAAAAUCCAUCCACCUUAUACAUGAAUUACAUUUGCAGCCAUCUGUCAACUCUUAAACUAUUUAUUAAUUUCUGAAUUUUUUCUUAAAUGAUAAUUUAAAUAUUAAAUCAUAUUGAUGUUAAGAUAGUUAAAUCUUUGCAUAUACUUUUAUGCAGCGUCCAAAUUAAUGACCUUCUCAGCGUCUUUACGAAUUCAACAAAACAAACAACUUUGCCUCCUUUCAUUGUAAUGACGUCUCUUUAUGUAAGUUCCUCAUUGUUAGGCCAAUUGGUACUUGGACCUCUUUUUACACUAUUUUCCGUAAUUUGAUGUUUUACACUAUUUCAAAGCUUUCCAUCCUAAUAUUUGUGUAUCAUUUUAAACAUCCACAAAGUCUUUUUGCCGCUAUCUUUGAAAGGGUGCAAUGAAUAUAUCUUAAUUUCACUUAGACUAGACAGCUUGCAGAACCAACUGAAACAAAUAAGAACAACUCCAAGAUCUAAAUCUUAGCGUUUUGUAGAUUAUCCUAAAGACGGCUCAUUUUCCUUAACUUUUCCACCUUCGGUGCCUAAAAGUACAGAUUCA